rnacentral:tRNA from 1 species
GCUGGCGUAGCUCAGUCGGUAGAGCAGCUGACUUGUAAUCAGCAGGUCGGGGGUUCGAAUCCCUUCAUCGGCUCUA